UACGUAGGGCGCAAGCGUUGUCCGGAUUUAUUGGGCGUAAAGAGCUCGUAGGCGGUUUGUCGCGUCUUCCGUGAAAACUGGGGGCUUAACUUCCAGCUUGCGGUGGAUACGGGCUGACUGGAGUGCGGCAGGGGAGACUGGAAUUCCUGGUGUAGCGGUGAAAUGCGCAGAUAUCGGGAGGAACACCUAUGGCGAAGGCAGCUCGCUGGGACGUUACUGACGCUGAGACGCGAAAGCGUGGGGAGCAAACAGG
rnacentral:rRNA from 1 species